GCCGGUGGAAAGCAGAGGUGGAUACACGAAAUCAAGCUCGUGCUCAUAGACAUAGGGCAAGAAAGCAUAGAGCAGUUGCGGAGAGCCCGCAAGAACACCCAUGUUUACAUGUAGAUGGCCUAGUCCAUAAUGGCGACUGGGCAUGAUGUGUCCUGGAAGGAUUUCAGGACAAAAAUUUAAAAUCUGACAAGGAAAAAUGAGAAGAAUAAAAUGGGGACAAGAGGCCAUUUGUGUAACAGCAUUUUGAAACGCCUCACAGCUUUCUCGGCUCAUUCAGGGUUGACAUUAUUGAUAUUGAUAUUGAGAAUGCUUUGGACAGCGAGAAUACUACAGAAUACUUCUUGAAGGACGUGGAGUUUGACCCUGAAAAUGCAAAAAACUGCAGCCGAACUCAGCGUACUGCCAAUUUGCCCCCUACAAAGCGCGCAAAGAUGGCCCACAAGGACGAGAUGCUGGCGAUUGCUAACGGAACAACCUACGCAGACUGAAUAUUAGCUAAAAAACCAUAAGACCAAAAUAGUUUUCAAUCACAACUCUUACAGUUUUUAAGGGAGUCUAUAAAAUAUAACAAUUAUAAAAUAA